rnacentral:rRNA from 1 species
CACGUAGGGCGCAAGCGUUGUCCGGAAUUAUUGGGCGUAAAGAGCUCGUAGGCGGUCUGUUGCGUCCGCUGUGAAAACUCGGGGCUUAACCCCGAGCCUCGCAGUGGAUACGGGGCAGACUAGAGGUAGGUAGGGGAGAAUGGAAUUCCCGGUGUAGCGGUGAAAUGCGCAGAUAUCGGGAGGAACACCGGUGGCGAAGGCGGUUCUCUGGGCCUUACCUGACGCUGAGGAGCGAAAGCGUGGGGAGCGAACAGG